UCCGGUAUGGUGUAAUGGCUAACAUUUCGCGCUCUCAUAACCUGAGAGAUUCAUCUGAUCCGCGGAGCUCAGGGUUCGAUUCCCUGUACCGGAG
rnacentral:tRNA from 1 species